AAAGUCGUAACAAGGUUUCCGUAGGUGAACCUGCGGAAGGAUCAUUAACACUUUUAUGUGCUACUCUAAACAAACCCGGUCACCAAACCCUGCUCGUGGGUUAGCGAAGAACAAGAUUCGAGAUGGGGGAACUCCCCUGUCUCGCUUUGAGCUCUUUCUAGCUUCGCGAGGAUAAACAAAUCAACCCUAUUUUAACCUUUAUUUUCUUCAACACUAACCUUCAUUUGCUGGUCUUCAUGCCAGUGAAUUAACAAAACGCGAACAACUCUUAGCAGUGGAUAUCUUGGUUCUC
rnacentral:misc_RNA from 1 species